AACGAACGCUGGCGGCAGGCUUAACACAUGCAAGUCGAACGCACCGCAAGGUGAGUGGCAGACGGGUGAGUAACACGUGGGGAUCUGCCCAAUGGUACGGAAUAGCUCCGGGAAACUGGAAUUAAUACCGUAUGUGCCCUUCGGGGGAAAGAUUUAUCGCCAUUGGAUGAACCCGCGUCGGAUUAGCUAGUUGGUGAGGUAAGGGCUCACCAAGGCGACGAUCCGUAGCUGGUCUGAGGGGAUGAUCAGCCACACUGGGACUGAGACACGGCCCAGAUUCCUACGGGAGGCAGCAGUGGGGAAUAUUGGACAAUGGGCGCAAGCCUGAUCCAGCCAUGCCGCGUGAGUGAUGAAGGCCUUAGGGUUGUAAAGCUCUUUCGCCGACGAAGAUAAUGACGGUAGUCGGAGAAGAAGCCCCGGCUAACUUCGUGCCAGCCGCCGCCGUAA
rnacentral:rRNA from 1 species